rnacentral:rRNA from 1 species
GACGAACGCUGGCGGCGUGCCUAAUACAUGCAAGUCGAGCGAAUCACUGGGAGCUUGCUCCCGGUGGUUAGCGGCGGACGGGUGAGUAACACGUGGGCAACCUGCCUGUAAGACUGGGAUAACACCGGGAAACCGGUGCUAAUACCGGAUAAUCCUUUUCCUCUCAUGAGGAAAAGCUGAAAGUCGGUUUCGGCUGACACUUACAGAUGGGCCCGCGGCGCAUUAGCUAGUUGGUGAGGUAACGGCUCACCAAGGCGACGAUGCGUAGCCGACCUGAGAGGGUGAUCGGCCACACUGGGACUGAGACACGGCCCAGACUCCUACGGGAGGCAGCAGUAGGGAAUCUUCCACAAUGGACGAAAGUCUGAUGGAGCAACGCCGCGUGAGCGAUGAAGGCCUUCGGGUCGUAAAGCUCUGUUGUUAGGGAAGAACAAGUACCGGAGUAACUGCCGGUACCUUGACGGUACCUAACCAGAAAGCCACGGCUAACUACGUGCCAGCAGCCGCGGUAAUAC